CGUACCUUAUACAGGGGAAUAACCUUUCGAAAGGGAGACUAACACCCCAUAGUAUUAUUUAGAGCCAUCUUUAAAUGAUUAAAUAUUUAUAGGUAUAAGAUGGGCAUGCGUAUGAUUAGCUAGUUGGUAAGUAGACGGCUUACCAAGGCGACGAUCAUUAGGGGUUCUGAGAGGAAGGUCCCCCACACUGGUACUGAGACACGGACCAGACUCCUACGGGAGACAGCAGUGAGGAAUAUUGGUCAAUGGGCGCAAGCCUGAACCAGCCAUGCCGCGUGCAGGAAGACGGCCUUAUGGGUUGUAAACUGCUUUUACAUAAGACUAACCGUAUAUUUGCGAAUAUACCUGAAUGUAUUAUGAGAAUAAGGAUCGGCUAACUCCGUGCCAGCAGCCGCGGUAAUACGGAGGAUCCGAGCGUUAUCCGGAUUUAUUGGGUUUAAAGGGUGCGUAGGCUGACUGAUAAGUCAGCGGUGAAAAGCAUAGGCUUAACCUAUGUCUUGCCGUUGAUACUGUCAGACUAGAAUAUAAAUGGAGUAGGCGGAAUGAAUCAUGUAGAGGUGACAUUCAUAGAUAUGAUUUAGAACACCGUUCGCGAAGGCGGCUUACUAAGAUAUAAUUGACGCUGAUGCACGAAAGCGUGGGUAUCGAACAGGAUUAGAUACCCUGGUAGUCCACGCUGUAAACUAUGAUAACU
rnacentral:rRNA from 1 species